rnacentral:siRNA from 1 species
GAUGUAGGAGUAGCUUUUUGUUGC